AUUGCCCUAGUAACGGCGAGUGAAGCGGCAACAGCUCAAAUUUGAAAUCUGGCUCUUUYAGNGUCCGAGUUGUAAUUUGCAGAGGGCGCUUUGGCGUUGGCAGCGGUCCAAGUUCUUUGGAACAGGACGUCACAGAGGGUGAGAAUCCCGUACGUGGUCGCUAGCCUUCGCCGUGUAAAGCCCCUUCGACGAGUCGAGUUGUUUGGGAAUGCAGCUCUAAAUGGGAGGUAAAUUUCUUCUAAAGCUAAAUAUUGGCCAGAGACCGAUAGCGCACAAGUAGAGUGAUCGAAAGAUGAAAAGCACUUUGGAAAGAGAGUCAAAUAGCACGUGAAAUUGUUGAAAGGGAAGCGCUUGCAGCCAGACUUGCCUGUAGUUGCUUAUCCGGACUUUUGUCCGGUGCACUCUUCUGCGGGCAGGCCAGCAUCAGUUUGGGCGGUUGGAUAAAGGUCUCUGUCAUGUACCUCCUUUCGGGGAGGCCUUAUAGGGGAGACGACAUGCAACCAGCCUGGACUGAGGUCCGCGCAUCUGCUAGGAUGCUGGCGUAAUGGCUGUAAGCGGCCCGUCUUGAAACACGGACCAAGGAGUCUAACAUCUAUGCGAGUGUUUGGGUGUCAAGCCCAGACGCGUAAUGAAAGUGAACGGAGGUGGGAACCUUUUAGGUGCACCAUCGACCGAUCCUGAUGUCUUCGGAAGGAUUUGAGUAAGAGCAUGGCUGUUGGGACCCGAAAGAUGGUGAACUAUGCUUGAAUAGGGUGAAGCCAGAGGAAACUCUGGUGGAGGCUCGCAGCGGUUCUGACGUGCAAAUCGAUCGUCAAAUUUGGGCAUAGGGGCGAAAGACUAAUCGAACUAUCUAGUAGCUGGUUCCUGCCGAAGUUUCCCUCAGGAUAGCAGUAACGUAUUCAGUUUUAUGAGGUAAAGCGAAUGAUUAGAGGCCUGGGGGUUGAAACAACCUUCACCUAUUCUCAAACUUUAAAUAUGUAAGAAGUCCUUGUUACUUGAUUGAACGUGGACACUUGAAUGUACCGUUACUAGUGGGCCAUUUUUGGUAAGCAGAACUGGCGAUGCGGGAUGAACCGAACGCGGGGUUAAGGUGCCAGAAUAUACGCUCAUCAGACACCACAAAAGGUGUUAGUUCAUCUAGACAGCAGGACGGUGGCCAUGGAAGUCGGAAUCCGCUAAGGAGUGUGUAACAACUCACCUGCCGAAUGAACUAGCCCUGAAAAUGGAUGGCGCUCAAGCGUAUUACCCAUACCCCGCCNCCGGGGCAGAAUUUAUGCCCCGGCGAGUAGGCAGGCGUGGAGGCUCGUGACGAAGCCUUGGG
rnacentral:rRNA from 1 species